AUUGAACGCUGGCGGCAUGCUUUACACAUGCAAGUCGAACGGCAGCGCGGGCUUCGGCCUGGCGGCGAGUGGCGAACGGGUGAGUAAUACAUCGGAACGUGCCCAGUAGUGGGGGAUAGCUCGGCGAAAGCCGGAUUAAUACCGCAUACGACCUGAGGGUGAAAGCGGGGGAUCUUCGGACCUCGCGCGAUUGGAGCGGCCGAUGGCCGAUUAGCUAGUUGGUGGGGUAAAGGCCUACCAAGGCGACGAUCGGUAGCUGGUCUGAGAGGACGACCAGCCACACUGGGACUGAGACACGGCCCAGACUCCUACGGGAGGCAGCAGUGGGGAAUUUUGGACAGAGGGCGAAAGCCUGAUCCAGCAAUGCCGCGUGUGUGAUGAAGGCCUUCGGGUUGUAAAGCACUUUUGGCGGGAACGAAAAGGACUGUGCCAAUACCACGGUUCGAUGACGGUACCCGCAGAAUAAGCACCGGCUAACUACGUG
rnacentral:rRNA from 1 species